rfam:Nicotiana attenuata strain TT chromosome 12, whole genome shotgun sequence.
GUGAGUGAAGAAGUGCAAUGCCGCUUGUAAAGCUCUUUUGUCGAGUGCGCGAUCAUGACAGGACUCGAGGAAGAAGCCCCGGCUAACUCCGUGCCAGCAGCCGUGGUAAGACGGGUGGGGGU